rnacentral:lncRNA from 1 species
ACCUGCAGACCCUACAACGAAUUGCAAAUAUUAAAAGAGCUUUCAGUAUCUAAUACCCAGGUAGUAGAAUUGCAAAUUAUGAAAUUACAAAGUGUUAUCAUAUAAUUACUUUGUCCAACAAUAACUUGCUUCUUUCUCGACCUGUUCGAAUCUAGGGAGGCAAUAUAUUGAGGAUAAUUUCUCUUCCAGUGCCUCUACUUCUUGCAGUAGAAGCAUCUUGCCUGACUCUGAUCGGACUUGGAUUUUUUGGUCUGAUAGGGCUUG